CAUUAGCAGUAAGAAAACAUGUCAACGGAAUAAAAUAUUAACCAAUGACAGGAAAGCUCGGGAAAUCCCACCCCUAUCUCCAAGCCAAACACCGGGUCAGCCCUCAAAUCUUGGCCGGUGGAGGCAUCACCUCGGUCGGCUUGCGCUUUAUACUUUCGACGAGGUGCAUAACUCCAGCCCAGAAACAAUACCCGAAUAGAUAGUCUACGUUUAUUGCUAUUUAGUCGCUUUCAUUAUAGCGUAGAGGUUGGCUAAAUCAAGUUAGUAGGCUAUACCGGUGAUUGAUUUUUUAAAGUAUGAAUUUAGCUCAGGAAAACGAAGAUUCCAAAUAGAUUUCUUUGUGGUUCCAUUCCAUGUGAAGAUUAUGUUGUCAGUUUAGGUCCAUUUUUACAUCAUAGCCAUUAUAUCUGGUUUCGUUUGUUUAGAAAUCCGCGUGCAGUUUUAUCUGUUGAAGUGUUGAUCGUGGUUUGGCCAUAAUAACAGAGUUAGUUCCCUCACUGGUUGUGCGUAAUGAUAUACUUACAAAGACUAUGCUGAGACGGUAAGAGAGUCCACAGCCACCCGUACCUGAAUGGUAGGCUAUCGGACUCGAUUUAGUGAUUAUAUUUCAGGGCUGUCCAUUUUCGUGACUCGCUGCUGUUUUGUGAACGAUUCACAGCAAGGACAGCGACUAAUAAACCGGACAUUGCCACUUUAAAAACUGCCCCGGGCCAUUCGAAAAGCGCAGAGACAGAUGCUUCGCCGAGGCAAGAAGAAAAGAAAACGAAUGAAUUUCGAGAGCAAAAUCGACAGAUAGAACGCGCAUAACCUGAAACAGCAAUGAGAUGAUUUAUAAUAAUAGAUUAUCAUGAGGGCAGUCUCUCCUCUGAGCGUGAGGGCACAACAGCGUCCUGACUCGCCAGAACAGUUUAUUGGUUGAAAACACACAAUACUCCAUGCAGCUCCGGGAAUGUCCCUGCCUGCAGCCGGCCCUCUCCUCCCCGGCUUCCCAAACUUUGAUCAGCGAGGCCUGGCCGCGGAGCCGCUUGAGCCGUGCAGCAUGGUUUGCUGGCAGAGAAGGAUGGGUAUAAAUGGAGACUGUCACAGGAGAGGAGGGUAAAGACCAGGGGCAUGUUCAGGAGGCAGACAACGUUUUGAAACAGAGUGAAACAGCUAAGGUGUGUCCUCCUUAACAGGCCCCUGCCCCUGGUAGAGGUGCCAGCUGGGGCACUGGCCUGGGCAUGGUUCCUUCAAACUCAGAGAGACAUUGGCAUGCAGGGCAUCAUGUCACAGUGUGGGGCACCAGGGGAGCGUCAGUGGGCAAACCAUAGAAAUAUGAUGAAUAGAACAGGCGUCCCCAUUCAAGUCAAUUUUGCCCACAGUGGAGGUGUCAUAAUACCCAUAAAACCCAGCGGUCAGACAGGGAAAUGGUUCCAAUCGUUUUUUCCACCAUUCAUUUUUCUCAUAGGGGAAUUUAGAAAUACUUAAAAUGAGGGCUGUGUUUCUUGUAAGCUUACCCUGGUGUGAUGUUAUGAUAACCAUGUAAAUCUCUCUCGGACAAGGUGACUUAUCAAUAUAUUUGGCUCUAUUUACUCUCAGGUUCAAAAAUGCUAAUUAGCUUCAAAGUAGACAUCACGCAAAACUACAAAUCCCUGCAAGCUCCGCACGUCAUCUCUAGCUGACACCUUUGCUAUCAGGUAUUGUGUCAAUUUAAAACUGGCAAAAGGGCCUCCCGAGUGGCGCAGCGGUCUAAGGCACUGCAUUGCAGUGCUGAGGCGUCACUACAGCCUCGGGUUUGAUCCCAGCCGGCUGUGACCGGGAGACCCAUGAGGCGGCGCACAAUUGGCCCAAGUUAGGGAAGGGUUUGGCCGGCUGGGAUUUCCUUGUCUCAUCGUACUCUAGUGUCUCCUUGUGGUGGGCCGGGCGCCUGCAAGCUGAUUUCGGUUGUCAGUUGGACAGUGUUUCCUCCGACACAUUGGUGCGGCUGGCUUUCGAGUUAAGCAAGCAGUGUGUCAAGAAGCAGUGUGGUUGGGCAGGGUCGUGUUGCGGAGGACGCACGGCUCUCGACCUUCACCUCUCCCGAGUCCGUAGGGGAGUUGCAGCGAUGAGACAAGACUAACUAUCAAUUGGGGAGAAAAAAAAAAUAGCAAAAGACAGUUCACAGAAUUGUCCAUUUAAAGAAAUGUAGCUACUUUAUUCAUUACUACAUUUAGCUAACAGAUAAUUAAUCCAGAGAUUCUUACGUUUGCCUCGAUUCGGCAGCCUCGUCCAGAUCAUCAUGGCGUUUGUAAUUUUUUAAUCAUAGCCACAUUAGCAGCUAUUAAGCGUUUCAUUUUUGGUGGGUAAAUACAGGCAAAUAUAGUGAUAAAAGUAACCCUGUCCUAGACAGAUUUACACGGUUAUCAAAACGUCACACCAGGGUAACCCUACAUGAAACACAGCCCUUAUUUUAAGUGUUUCUAAAAUCCCCUAUGAAUGAUGAUGAAUGGUGGAAAAAUGAUUUGAACCAUUUCCCUGUUUGACCGCUAGGUUUUAUGGGUAUAUGACUCAUACUGUGGUACUCUAUGGGCGGACAAGUCAUAUGUGCUGUAAUUUAUUGAUUAAACUGACAUUGCAAAAAAAGACAUUCGUUUGAAUGAACAUUCUUACCAUGGAAAUUAUUGCAUCACAUUACCAGGCAGCCACUGUAAGUGUACCCAUGUGUUUACCAAUCAAAAACGCCAGGGUUAGAAGUUCCAAGCCCAUUCUAUUCAUUCUUUUUCUAUGGGGCAAACAACCUGAAGGCAAGAGCAGAGCCAGUGCUUGUUGGCAUCAGUAUGCCUGCUCAAACACAUUCACAUGGCCAUUGUUUCAGUCUCUGGCCUGGUUUUGCUCCUGUCUAUGGUAAGUGAAUUGCAUUUAAACAUAGGGGCCCUACAUCAAUUAGUCUUGUACUGAUUUUAGAUUCUUGAACAUUCUUGUUCUGAGUGUCAGAUACGUUUUAGAGUGUUGUAUUCACAGUCUGCUUUUCCACAAUAAACUGGCAGAAAAUGUG